rnacentral:rRNA from 1 species
UCAUGGCACGCGCGACCGGGUAUUAAGUGCUGCAACAUUGUUGCAGCUGUUUUUCUGCCUAAAAAGCAGAGAGAGUAAGGGCCGGGUAAGACGGGUGCCAAUCGGUGCAAGUCUACCCAAAUAGAAAUAUGCACUAAGCACAGGCCGCCGCGGUAAUACCCGCGGCCCAAGUGGUGCUCAUUAUUAUUGAGCCUAAAACGUCCGUAGCCGGUUUGAUAAAUCCAUGGGUAAAUCGAAUUGCUCAACAAUUCGAAGUCCGUGGAGACUGUCAGGCUUGGGACUGGGGGAGGUAAGAGGUACUCCGGGGGUAGGGGUAAAAUCCUGUAAUCCUUGGAGGACCACCAGUGGCGAAAGCGUCUUACUAAAACAGAUCCGACGGUGAUGGACGAAGCCGUGGGGCGCAAACGGGAUUAGAUACCCCGGUAGUCCACGGUGUAAACGCUGCAGACUUGGUGUUGGAGGCACUACGGGUGCGUCCAGUGCCGGAGAGAAGUUGUUAAGUCUGCUGCUUGGGGAGUACGGUCGCAAGACUGAAACUUAAAGGAAUUGGCGGGAGAGCACCGCAACGGGAGUAGCGUGCGGUUCAAUUGGAUUCAACGCCGGAAAACUCACCAGGGGCGACUGGUAUAUGAAGGUCAACCGACGAUUUUACCAGAUUUCCAGAGAGGUGGUGCAUGGCCGUCGUCAGUUCGUACCGUAGGGCGUUCUGUUAAGUCAGAUAACGAACAAGACCCUCGCCCUCCAUUGCCAACUGUUUCUCCGGAAGCAGUGCACAUUGAGGGGACCGCUGGCGCUAAGUCAGAGGAAGGAGAGGGCAACGGUAGGUCAGUAUGCCCCGAAUCCCUGGGCACACGCGCGCUACAAGGACAGGACAUGGGCUCCGAUGUCGAAAGGCAAGGCAAUCUCGAAACCUGUUCGUAGUCUGGACUGAGGGCUGUAAUUCGCCCUCACGAAAAAGAUUCCGUAUAAACGCGCGACCC